ACGAUACAGAUCCGCGACAAUUCUGCGCCUUCGUCUCCACCACCUCCACACUUUAUAAGGGCAGCCCCACCGCUUAGCUUCCCGCCCUCCCCCUCUCCCUCUCCCUCUCCCUCUCCGCCCCUUUCUCUCUCCCUCCUUCCCCCCAACCAGCUUCAACCUUCGGGGAUCCCAGUUGGCGCAAGAACUACAAACUGCCAUGGCCCCCUUAUUGAUCUCCUCUCUCCGCCAUCCUCCGCUAGAUCAUCGACUAUUUUUCUGCUCUCCUUCUUGGCGUUCGCUACGUCGUAGGGUAGGCAGAUGAACAAGGUGUCUCCAUUCUUGGCCAGCCAAUCCUCUCUUUCCAUCGUUCGGAACCUUCUUAAUCCCUCCUCCUGGAGAACGGAAGAACUCCAACCGCUGGGAAGAUGUGGAAUGCUUGAAACAAUCCGGACUGGAGGUAUGGAUCUUUAUGUCAAGCCGGCUCUUGGAGUGAUUCUUGAGCGUUCUGGGGCGUUAACCGCUUAGCUGCUGAAGUGAUCGAUAAAAAGGUAGAAACAACUGCUAAGAUCUUAUCCUUAGAUAAAGCACUAGGGCCUGAUUGUGCUGAAUCAUUGUUUUCUCAAGGUGUUAUGCCUGUCAGUAAAUGGGAUGUUUGUGUCGAAUGAUGUCUUCAGCUCAAGAGCCACCUAGUGUAUUGUGAGCUACCUUUAUUGUAAUUAUACCUACAAAGAACAAACCAAGAGAUGCAAAGGAUUUCUGGCUCCUUUGUUCAAUGUUGUUUAUCAAUUCAUCAUUAAGAUUUGAUCGAUUGAAUUAUCCUCCCAAUGUCCCUUUGUCAAGAAUAGGAACUUUUUCAAAUUUUUAAUUUUUGCUCAAGAGAUUAUGCAUUCUCUUUAACAAGCACUAUAUACCAACAGACUGCUGGUAGUGAUGGUGGACAUAGAAA